rnacentral:lncRNA from 1 species
UUUUCUCACGAUUAGAUUGGGGUUUUGAGAUUUGGGGAGGAUUACCACAAAGGUGGGUUGCCGUUCUCAUCACAUCAUCCUGAAGAGUACGUACUAUCACCAUGACUUAACACUGGUCAUGCUAACCUCGAUCACCUGGCUAGUGUUUGCCAGGCUCUUCAUUGCAAAGCUACUAUUUUUCCCUUUCCGUACUCUGUUCUUUGGAAGCAAGUCACUCAGUCCAGCCCACACUCAAGGCGGGAGAGGGGAAAUAGGUUCCGCCUCCUGGAGAGUGAAGUAUCUACAUAUAUUAUUGGGAAUUCUCUCUGGAAGAUUUGGCUCUUCUCCGUUUAUUUAUUCAGUCAUUUAUAUCAGUAGGGAUUUAUGGAUAUUUAUGUUAUACUUUAGGUUAUAACUCAAUACUAUGUUAUUUGUUUGGUUGCUCAAAUUUUUCCAGCUUUGGACAUGGGGCACUCUUAAAGGUUGGCCCGGUGUCCCCUUGACCUAUCCUUAUCCUUUUGUAUUUUGAGCACUUUAUUUUCUGGCACUACACAAUGCUCCAGGCCUAGAAUCAGCAUAUCUCCUAGGAGCUGGGCACCUCUUUAAAAGCUUGACAGGUGAUUCUAAUGCAGAAUAAGCGGGACCACUGAUAUUGAGGGUGAAGCAUAUUCUGUAAAUCUUCUCCUAAUGCCAUGAUCAAACCAAAUCCUGUCUUGCCCCCUCAAAAGAUUUAGUCGUCUUGAUUCAUUCCUCGUUUUCCUUUCACGUACAAUCUUUUCACCAAAACUGUUUUCUCCUUCUCAACAACCAGAGCAGCAGUUUUAAAACUUUAAUGUACAUAGGAUCUUGUUAAAAUGCAGAUUUUGAUUCAGUAGGCCUGGGGAGGAGCCCGAGAUUCUGUAUUCCUAGCAAGUAACAAGAUGAUAUGAAUGCUGCUGAUCCAUGAACUACAUUUUGAGUAGCGAGCGUCAGAACAAAGACCAGACAACUUCAGACAUUUCAAGAGCCUCCACGGUCUGCCUGACCCCGGUCUGCUUUCCAGCUUCAUCUUCCACACAUUUCUUCAUUUAUCCUGCACUCGAACCAAUGAGGCUACUCGACAUUUGUAGUAUUCACCUUCUGAUGUGGCCCCUGAGGCUCGCCGGCAUUCACUCCUUUGUGUAAUCCCCUUCCCUUGGGUGUGGGCUGGACCUAGUGACGUGCUUCUGACAGAAUACACCAAAAUGAUGGGAUGUCACUUCUGUGAUUAGGUUACAAAAGACUGUGACUUCUGUCCUGCUUGUACCCUCUCUUGUCCUCAAAGUUGCUCACUCUGAUGAAGCAAGCUGCCAUGCUGUGAUAUUCUCUGUGGAGAGGUCCACACAGCAAGGAACUGAGGGACUGAGGCCUUAGUAUAACAGCCCAUGAGGAAGCGAAUCCUGCCAACAAUUGUGAGCGAGCUAGGAAGUGGAUCCUUCUCAGUGGAGCCUUGAGAUGACUGCAGCCUUGUGAGAGAUCCUGAGCUCAAGCACCCAUCCAAGUCACGUCCAGAUUCCUGACCCACAGUAGCUGAGAUCAUAAAUGUGUGUUGUUUUAAGCUGCUAAAUUUUGGGUUAAUUUGUUAUACAACAAUAGAUAGCUAAUACAUUAUUUAUUAAAUAUACAAUGAAA